rnacentral:snRNA from 1 species
AUCGCUUCUCGGCCUUUUGGCUAAGAUCAAGUGUAAAAUUUUUGCAGUGCUAGGAAUUGAAGCAAGAGCCUCUACUACUGAGGUACAUUUCCAGGCGCUCCAUUUUUUGUUUGUUUGUUUGUUUGUUUGUUUGUUUUGAGACAGGGUCUCACUAUGUAGUUGAGGCUGACCUGGAACUCACUAUGUAGCCCAGGCUAGUCUUGAACUC